CUUCCAGACUCUUACGGGAGGCAGCAGUGGGGAAUAUUGCACAAUGGGGGGAGCCCUGAUGCAGCGACGCCGCGUGGGUGAAGGAGUACUUCGGUACGUAAAGCCCUAUCAGCAGGAAAGAAAAUGACGGUACCUGACUAAGAAGCCCCGACUAACUACGUGCCAGCAGCCGCGGUAAUACGUAGGGGGCAAGCGUUAUCCGGAUUUACUGGGUGUAAAGGGAGCGUAGACGGCGAUGCAAGCCAGAUGUGAAAGCCCGGGGCUCAACCCCGGGACUGCAUUUGGAACUGUGUGGCUGGAGUGUCGGAGAGGCAGGCGGAAUUCCUAGUGUAGCGGUGAAAUGCGUAGAUAUUAGGAGGAACACCAGUGGCGAAGGCGGCCUGCUGGACGAUGACUGACGUUGAGGCUCGAAAGCGUGGGGAGCAAACAGGAUUAGAUACCCUAGUAA
rnacentral:rRNA from 1 species